rnacentral:rRNA from 1 species
CAGUAGCCACGGUAAGACAGAGGAUGCAAGCGUUAUCCGGAAUAACUGGGCGUAAAGGGUGCGCAGGUGGUUUAACAAGUUAGUGGUGAAAGGCAUAGGCUCAACCAAUGCAAGCCAUUAAAACUGUUUAACUUGAGUGCAGGAGAGGAAAGUGGAAUUCCUAGUGUAGCGGUGAAAUGCGUAGAUAUUAGGAGGAAUACCAGUGGCGAAGGCGACUUUCUGGACUGCAACUGGCACUGAGGCACGAAAGCGUGGGGAGCAAACAGGAUUAGAUACCCCCGUAGUCCUGUCUCUUAUACAC